CUACGGACGACGCCGCCCCGAUCACGCCCGUGCGCGAAGCGAAUCAUCUCCUCCGGACGAGAGGAGAGGUCCUUCGCGGCGGAAACGGGUCGCGGUGUACGCGCGUACGUGUGCCUGGGCGCCUCGCGCGACUGCGGGCGACGUUGCUUUUCGCAACGUCGCCCCAAAGCGCGUCGCCUCAAGUCUUGAAAGAGAUUCGGAACGCUCUGAGUUCCUCUCGAAACGCCGAUCAUCCGACGGUGUCUCUCUUGGCUCGGUAACCGAGGUGCAGCGAAAAGGCGAUGGAGUAUUGGACGCUCCGGCCUCGACCGCCUAUGUUGGGGGCGGCGACGCUCGCGAGAAAGUUUUUCCCUUCAAACGUCGAAGCGGUUAGCGGGAGGUCUUCGUGGCCAGUCCCGCGGCUGUCGCGCCUGGAUCCGGCCGAGCGUGAGCGCUUGAUUCGGACGUCGUGUCGCACGUUGAAAGAGUCCCUCAGGGGGCUCGCUGUGCGGCGACGUUACCGGAGAUGCUCGCGGCUCGAUCGCCGUCGAAUCCGCAAAAAAGGCGCGAGCGGCCGCGGUAGAACAGGUUGCGUUCCUCCUCGCUGCCAGCCGAGACUUUGAACGCGAAGGGAGAAACGCGUUCGCCGAAGUAGCAUAAGAAGCACGCCAUUUUUCGAAAAACCCGAGUUAAAACGCGCAGGAGAGCCCGUGUAGGAAGAGCGGCAAACCGCAGAGGAGCGUCGAACGCUGCGAGCGUUCCGAAC
rnacentral:misc_RNA from 1 species